GUCAAACGCUCAACAUGAGGCCAAACGUUUGACCUUACCAGAAUGCGAUAAGACCAAGUUUUAAACGGCAAAACCCAUUUUCAAAACCUCAUUUUCUCUCAUUUCUCUCAAUCCAAACCUUUCCAAAGAAAAUUUCACCCAUCUCUCCUUUGUUUCUUGAAGAACCAUGCUUAAUUUCAAGGAUUAAGAAGGAUGAUGGCAUGCACAAUCUCGGCGCGGGAUUGAGACUGAGAUUGAGGAGACGGACAUUUUGACAUUAGCCUAGGGAUCUGCCUUGACUCAGACAACAGAUACCACCACACCCGUCGAACUAGUACUAGAGGCACCACCAAUCUGUAUCUUCAACGCAACGAGAUUUGUGGAUGCUGAGGUAGCUUCUCAGCAUUCCCACCGCUACUAUGCAUGAGCCUUUCUUGUGGAGAGUGGUGUAGAUCUACUUGAUAUCAGGAGACUCUCCCAGAGGAUCCCAAAGCUUUUUGAGUUCAAGAAGUGGACACAGAUGAUCUCUAAGUCUGUACCUGCGGCAACGAAGUUGGUUUGUGAGUUCUACGCGAACAUUUAUGAACGUGGCGAGGGCUACUUCAUGACAUGGCUUCACAGUCACCACAUCUAAGUGGACCCUAAGCUGAUCAACACAAUCAUCCACACUCUGCGAUUACUAAUCCAGAGUACCCGUAGAGUGCUUCGCAGAGGAACGACCCCACGCCAUGGCCAUGGAGGGGACUAAAGGGUUUGCUCUCAACUAGCUGCCAGUCGAGUUUCGGUUGGUCUAUUGCAUCAUUGCCAACCAAGUAGACCCAAGUAAGGGCAAAAGUCUCAUCACUUUUGACUGAGCAAUUUGCUUGUACACUAUCCUGACGUGCUUGCAUGUUAACUUCGCCUUCAUCACCAUCUCCCUCAUAAGGCAGGUUGACGACAUGGAUGCGGUCAUGACACUACCUUUUGAGCACUGAUCACCCACAUUGACAAGCACUCCCAUAUAUCCACGGCCACUUAAAGUAUCGCGCACUCAGAGGGACCAUUCACCAGUUGAUUCUUCCGAGCAAGUGGUGUUCAUGUGCGGAAGCCGGUAGUGACUGCACCAGCUCAAGAAUCCUGCUAGCAAGUUAGACAGUAGUAUGUGCUUUUCAACUCCAAGCAAUUUUCCUUGGUGAUCACUUGCAUCCUGGAUAUAGUGACCCGACAAGAGCGAGAGAUGGUGACAUUGCACUAGGAGGUAGGGAGACUCUCUACAGCAUUCGUUUAGGAGCAGGGUAGGAUGGCCAGCAAGCGACAAGCACUUGACGCCAUGAUGGAGAGGAUUGUCGAGAUCCAGGGCAUUGUGCGGAGGAGAGACAGUCAAUUACUGGAUGUGGAUGAUUUUGUGAUCGAUGACAGUAUGUUCCCAGGCGAUGGAGCGACCGAGUAGUUAGCUUGUUGUUUUCUUUUCUUUUAUUUUGGUUGACCUUAGGCUUUGGCCUAUUGUUAUUUUGGGAUUUGUUCUGACAUUAUUUUUCUUUUAUUAUGUUUUAUUUUCCACCA